AUUGACAUCAGUUCCAGACAAAGUUGACUACACUGAGGGGAAACAAGUCUUAUUUCAAAGUUGCUGAGCCUGAGCUCUGGAUGUCUUCACUCAGAAUGAGUAAAAAGACAAAGACCCAGAAGACAGUACAUACUACACUGCCUUCACCUAAUUCCACAUAAGAAUAUAGUCCUGGUUCCUGCUUCUCUUCUAUUCCUGAAGAUUCUUCUCCUUCCCCUCUUCAUUUGUUCCAGGCUUUUUUUGUCUAACAUUGUGUGUUCUAUUAUGAAAAACUUAGCUCAAACAGUCAAAAACUUCAUUUAAUUAUAAUACUGCUUUUGGCAGAUAUACUCAUCUGACAUCUCUUUAUCUGUAUAAGCAUGCUUCUUAAGACAGGUCUCAUAAUAACAUUGUUUCCUUCACAGAAGUUGUACAUGAACUCUGGACUGCUUUGCAUACAUAACUAAGGCAACACUGUUCUCUCCUUAUGUGCAUAUUUAUUUUAAAAAAGGUAGGUUCUGAGUUUAACAGUGAUCAUGAUGAUAAAAUCCAGCUUAGUUUUAGUUGACUUUUUCAUAAUUCAGAAAAAGUAGUCAUAGCUACCCUUAAUAAAUUUUAAGAGGCAGACAAAUCAUCUGCUCCCUUUAAAAAAUAAUUAAGGAAUAGUCUUCAAUAUUACUUUAUUUGAACCUCUAUUGAAGAUAGCUAUAUAUUUUUUUUUUUUUUAAAAAAAAAAACCUACAUUACUGUUUUUGUCAUUCUAGGGCAAUUGAUUUCAUCAGAAGUAUGACUAUAGUUCUAAGUGCAGUGAUCAUCACAAAGGAAUAAUGUAAUAGUGAGAUCAAUAAACAUGGAAAUCUGAAGAGAUGGAAGACAGAAAUUGGCACUGAAGCAAAUGCUGAGCACAGUGAUGAUGUCAAAGCAGAAGAAUGUUAAUACAUGGGAUCUAGAUAAGGAAAGAAGAGAUGAGAAUGACUAAAGAUCUGGAAAGCCUGUAUUGCAAGAUGUCUUUUUAACUCUGUAUUUAAUAAGCAGAAGCUUAAUAGUUUUCUUGAUCGUGGUCCUUACUGAUAUACAAAGGGAAAAUUCUUUUCUUUGUUUAAGAAAUUGCAGGAUCUCAAUGCUGAAAGCUGCCAUUUGGAAAACACAGGCCAGAAAGUAGCUGAAGUAGUUGCUCUAUUGUAGCAGUGAGGAUAUUAAAGCACUAGACCUCUGUCUAUACCUGCUCCCCAAAAGUGUUGGGUCUCUUCUUUUUCUUCUAGCAUUUCAGUUGGAGUACUCUUAAAUCUGAAUUCAGAUUAUACUAUUGCACCAGUCAGUACCACUUUUUCCAGCCUGAGACCUGAGCAUAUCCAUUGUGGCAUGAAGAAGAUGCUGAAUUCAAACUGAUCAUGCUUUGAGAUGGUGCUGUAUCCAUGAUCUGAAGACCAAGACAACAGGAGAAGAGGAGCAAGAGGGGUCUCACCAAUGCAUCAAAUUGUAAAUGGCUAACUCAACAGUGAAAAGGCAGUAAAUAGUUGUGGUAGAUACAUAUGCCUAUACUGUGGACCACUGAUAUAUUCAGGUAGGUAGGUAGAAAUUGAGUCUUCGCACAACCCCUGUAGCUGGGAGUGUUGAUAGCCUGUGAUGUGGCAGCAGGUUGCUCGCGGAUCAGGACAUCAGCGCUGUGCUGGUGAUGGAGCAAGUUAUCAAGGUAAUCCUUCAAUUCUGUAAGGACUAUUUGGGCUAGAAUGCUCCUUCUGAGAAGGACACUGCAGCUGUACUUACUCACCUGGAAAAGGAGUGGAAUCUUGCCUCAGGACAUUCUAGACCCCACUAGAUGGGAUUUGUUUACAUCCAUGCUUGCGCAGCAUGUGAUGGAGGAGCAAAAAGCUGCAGAGCUUAAAGUUUGGGAGCUGAUCCUCGGAGCUCUCAGAGCGGCCAGGGAGGAGGGCAAAAUUCCUGAGGUGCUGUGUAUUAUGAUGGGGUUGGAAUCUACUAACACUGGGAGAAAUGGCAUGGGAAGCGUAUUUUCUUGCAGGUCCCCUGAGGAAGAGAGCACCACAAAUAUGCCCUCAACUAUGGCGCCUAACACCUCAUCUGCAUCUUCAGCUCCCCCCUCAGUUCCAGCUUCAGACAAACAAGGAGAAGGUAGCGCUCAACUGUAUGCGCUCUUAUCUUGCAAAACUGCCCGAGUGCAGGAAUCCAAGGUCAUUGAAAUACGGAUACGGGGAUAUGGUCCCCCCCACCAUAUCCAUGGCAACUGCUGUAUCUUUCUCUGUGUAAUCUACCACCACCUGUGGGGGCAGGGGGAGAAGUGAGCUGGGGAAGAAGGAGUGGGAUGCUAGCCUCCUCUAUAGAGAUGGAAAACAAGUGUGGUAAUACCCAGGGGGUGGGGACUGUGGGAAAGGCUUGGGUACAGAUUGGUCAAAAGUUAGGGAGGUGGUAAAAAAGAAAGGAAAGGGAAGCGAUGCAACUUACAGAUGCUCAGGUGAUAGAGUCCAGCCAGCACCAUCCACCCUGAUUGUGCCUGAAAGAGAAGGUGGCAUCUGGCCGGCACUGUCUGCUCAGGUUGCACCCAACGGAGAAAGACAAAAUGAUGAUGGUUUCUGGACCCACUCCCUACCACCAUAUCAGGACCCAUUGACUUGACCUACAUAUCCUUUUAAAGGAUUGACUGCGCAUGCAACCAAUUAGAAGCCUCUACAACAGUCAGUGCUUGAUCAAAGGGAGAUCAAAGGGCAGAGGGGGAGGGAUGCGGCGCCCGCAGCUUCCUGUUGCGACUGAAAAGGGUAGCGAAAGAAGGAGAGAGGUGAAUUUGCAUUUAGGAGUGAAGAGGGAUGCACUAACAGAUUGUAGGAAGUUUAGAUCUGGCCUGAUAGAGAAAGGAAGAGUACUGUAGACCUUCCUGAUAGUAGGGAAUGAUAACGGAGGUCCAGAAUAGGCCUAUAUGCCUAUACGCAUCUGCAUUGUACUUAAUCCACUGCAGUAUACAUUGGGGGCAUCAGAAUGGGUUCCCUUAAGGGCAGGUGGCCAGAUGGAGGCCUGGAGAACAAGCAACAAUGAUUUGUUUGUGAGAGCAAUACUCUGAAAGCUCGAGACAUCUGCCUUGAUAUUGAACAAAUGUUUGUCAUUUUCAGGUACACUCCAGUGAGGUUCCUAAGACAAUGUUGGUAUAUAUUGGGAAAGGAUUUGUUUGUAUAAGGAUCCUUUGUAAUUUCGUAUUCUUAGAUCGUGCCAGUAGAGCUAUCAGCAAUCACUCUAAUGUCUAAUCUCUCUGUCUACAACUUUACCAGUAUUGUAGGAUGUGGCUUUCAUUCUUCACUGUUGGUGACAUCACAUCAGUUAUUCCAGGCUAAUUAUAUGCUGAUUAAAGACCUAUCACCAGCUGCAAUUGGAGUGAAUAUUGCUUUCGUAAGGAAGCUGUUGUAACAUGAGAUAACUUGCACCAACUGCUAAAAUGCAUCAGAGGCAGUGGACAGAAAACCUUCAUCACGGUUGACCAUGACAAAAGUGAGAUGCAUCAUGUCCGAGAGAGAGAGAGUAAAGAAGGAUGGAGAACACAACUGGCAGGAAGUGCUUCUUGGAUGGUACACCAAAGAAACGGGGAUGUUUAACUCUAUACUGCAUUUAGUUGUAGUUCAGUUAUAGUUGUAUUAGAUCUAAUAUCAAUACCGG